UCCUCAGUGUAGCUCAGUGGUAGAGCGUCCGACCGGUGUGCGGAAGGUCAUAGGUUCGAAUCCUGUUGCGGGUUGAA